rnacentral:rRNA from 1 species
GAACGCUGGCGGCGUGCCUAAUACAUGCAAGUCGAACGCUUUAUCUCACCGGGUGCUUGCACCCACCGAGAUAAAGGAGUGGCGGACGGGUGAGUAACACGUGGGUAACCUGCCCAUAAGUGGGGGAUAACAUUCGGAAACGGAUGCUAAUACCGCAUAUCUUUAUUGGCCUCAUGGCCAAGUGAUGAAAGGCGGCUUCGGCUGUCGCUUAUGGAUGGACCCGCGGCGCAUUAGUUAGUUGGUGAGGUAACGGCUCACCAAGACGAUGAUGCGUAGCCGACCUGAGAGGGUGAUCGGCCACACUGGGACUGAGACACGGCCCAGACUCCUACGGGAGGCAGCAGUAGGGAAUCUUCCGCAAUGGACGAAAGUCUGACGGAGCAACGCCGCGUGAAGUGAAGAAGGUUUUCGGAUCGUAAAACUCUGUUGUUAGAGAAGAACAAGGAUGACGAGUAACCUGCUCGUCCCUUGACGGUAUCUAACCAGAAAGCCAUGGCUAACUACGUGCCAGCCGCCGC